UAUGGCACUAAAUGCUCAUAUCAAAAAAGCAAUGACAGCUAUGAAGGCUCUUGGAAUAGAGGAGGCGCAGAUAAAGCCUGUCUUGAAAAACCUUCUCAACCUUUACGAUAAGAAGUGGGACUAAAUAGCCUAGGACAACUACAGGGCUCUCGCUGAUGCUAUCUUCGAGAGCCAAGAGACUCAGGCCACUGAAGAGAAAAAAGGAAAGGAGAAGAAGGCCGACCAAGCUGAAGGCAGCGUAUGUUAUUUCCCCACAACCUACCUUUUAUUAUUUCAAUGACUGUAUUUUGGUUGGUUCUUUUAAUUUUUACUAUGCCCUUUGAUUUAGCAGUGUUGCUUUGUUUUGGCUUUGCUAAUUAUGUCUGUGCAGUUGUUGUUAUUUGCAACCAAAAACAACUCUGAAAAGGUUCUUCCAGAGUUUUAAGAAGCAGCAACAUCAUUUAAAGGAAAGUUGCAACAGCUCAUCUUUAAUUUGUACAUGUGGAUGUGGAUAAUGAGGAUUAUGGGAAGCCAGUUGCUGACUACUUUGGUGUGUCUGGAGAUGGUCCUAAAGAGAAGGCUCCCCAAGGCUGAUAAGCGCAAGGUUGAGUAUGAGAAGACAAGAAACUCUGUUUUUCCCGAAUCAUUCACAAGCAGAGGAGGAAAAAAAAAGAAAAGCUCCGGUGUUAGCCUAAGAUUGACGGUGGUAGCGGCAGUAUAAUGUUUGUGUUUAGGUUUCUGGUUUUUUUUGUCACUUAGGUUUCUGGUUUAGUUUUGG